UACGGGGGGGGCAAGCGUUGUUCGGAAUUACUGGGCGUAAAGGGCUCGUAGGCGGCCAACUAAGUCGGAUGUGAAAUCCCCAGGCUUAACCUGGGAACUGCAUCCGAUACUGGAUGGCUUGAAUCCGGGAGAGGGAUGCAGAAUUCCAGGUGUAGCGGUGAAAUGCGUAGAUAUCCGGAGGAAUACCAAAGGCGAAGGCAGUGUCCUGGAGGGUGACUGACGCUGAGGCGCGAAAGCUAGGGGAGCGAACAGG
rnacentral:rRNA from 1 species